rnacentral:rRNA from 1 species
GAUGAACGCUAGCGAUAGGCUUAACACAUGCAAGUCGAGGGGCAGCAUGGUCUUAGCUUGCUAAGGCUGAUGGCGACCGGCGCACGGGUGCGUAACGCGUAUGCAACUUGCCUCACAGAGGGGGAUAACCCGUCGAAAGACGGACUAAUACCGCGUACACUCUAUGUUGGGCAUCCAAUGUAGAGGAAAUGAAAUUCGCUGUGAGAUAGGCAUGCGUCCCAUUAGCUAGUUGGUGAGGUAACGGCUCACCAAGGCGACGAUGGGUAGGGGAACUGAGAGGUUGAACCCCCACACUGGUACUGAGACACGGACCAGACUCCUACGGGAGGCAGCAGUGAGGAAUAUUGGUCAAUGGGCGAGAGCCUGAACCAGCCAAGUCGCGUGAAGGAUGGCUGUCUUAUGGAUUGUAAACUUCUUUUAUACGGGAAUAACAAGAGUCACGUGUGGCUCCCUGCAUGUACCGUAUGAAUAAGCAUCGGCUAACUCCGUGC